AAGAAUCGAAUCGUUAAAAUGAACCGUUCGAACGAACCGACUCAUUGAAGUGAAUCGCAGUCCCUGUCGUUAGAGAGCUUGCUGUAUUGUCUCGGUCGUGUCAGCUUGAUUCGCCUGCCAUUUGUCAGCGAUGUCAAGCGCAGGAUGUUUCAUCAGCCCAGACAGAGCAGGAGAGUGGAAUAAGAGCUUUAUGCGCUGAGGAGUGACGGACGUGGAGCGACGCUUCCUCAGAGAGGGCUUUCUUUGUUAUACAGUAUCUGCGAUUUCAUCCAGAGAUAUUAUCCCUGAAAGCUUAUGGAGGGAUCUCACAAAACAGGUCCAAAGAGGGGUGGAUGGAUGGAAAGAUGGAUAGAAGGAGAGCUGCCACAAGAGAGAGAUAAAGCUAUCUUUCCCUCUCCAUAAUUAACCAGGUUUCGGUAACAAGCCUUUGGGCUUUACUGUUGCCAUGGUGACCUCCCAUCCGCAGGUUUUUCAUCUGAGCCUCUGACAGUGUGUGGACUCUCUCCAUCUCAGCCGAUCACUCCCAUUUGAUUUGAACAAAUUCCCGCUUCUCUCCAUAUCUCCACACACACACACACACACACUCAAAGCCCCUCAGAGCACUUACUGCUUCCAGACACAUCAGUUUUGAGAGUUGGGCCUGAGAUCAGGCAGCUUUACUAACAUCCCUUCAUAUUACCAGCAGGUCAGAAUAAAUAAUAUCACACACACACACACACACACACACACACAUGCACACACACACGCACGCACGCACGCACGCACACACACACACACACACACAGUUUACCACCCUCCACACGAGCCUUUUCAGCACAACACAUACAGUGCUGCAAUUAUCAGUGCUCAGACAACAGCAAAUGAGAAGCAUUCUGUCCCAGGAGGCAUGGGAGAAAUCCUCAAAAAAUUGAAUGUAAAAAUAAUUGACAGUACAAAACAUGAGACUGAUAAUUGAUUAAUCACUCAUUUGCAAGUAGCAAUGUCCAGACAUGUCCAAAUGUGAGGGUGAAAUAUGGGUGAAAAUCAUCCUGUAAAAGAAGGCAGUGCUUCCACUUUCACAUUUUCAAAGACAUAACGACUGUUUCACAAAUUUGCAUGAAUGAACAAACUGGUAGAAAUUGAUGGAAAAUUGCAGAAUCAAUUACCCACCUCACGUUUGUUUAGGUCUACAUCUGUGCAUAAUGUUAACUAAUAGCAUGAUAGCUUUUUUUAGGUUGCUGUUGUAUGCACCACUCUCAAUAACAAAUUUUGGUCAGUUCCUCACCUAAAACUUAAGAGGAAGUAGUAUGAACCAUUUCAGUGCAACCACAUUCCCCAUUUCCCCAUUAUUUUUUGCUGACUGUCACUUGAAUUCAUUGACAUUCUGAAGGGUUACACAGAUACUUUAAAUACGCACAUUUCAAAGAAUUAUUUAGUAGAUGGUUGGUCCAUCAUUUUACAGUUUUACGGUAAAAUCUUGAUUUGUUUGUCUACGUGAUGUUAUAUCUUUCCAGUCUACAAUAGCCUGCAGUCCCAGACUCAUUCACUUACUCUAAUGUCUUUAAUACUUAUCCCAGUCUAUGUGAUCUAAUUACAGUCUGGGUUCCCUAUAUUAACGUCAUUUACGGCAGACACAAAGGGGGAGGGUGGAGGAGCACAAGAGUGGGUGAGAGUCCAGUUGACUUGCAGAAACUGAGACCAGUGCAAAGGCUAAUUCGGAUAUCUUAUAAGGGUGGACUGAGCUCUUAAGACUAGGCAUACAUAAUUCACCAUUACGGCAGAUGAUGUGACAUGUUUUGCACUAUUGGAUUUGGAGAUUUUCUGGAGUUGCUUGCAAGUUUCUCCAUGACCAUGCAUGAUCUCUGGAGCUCAGAGUGACCAUCAGCUUCUUGAUCACCUCUCUUACCAAAGCCAUUCUUCCCUGAUUGCUCAGUUUGGCCAGACUUCAAAUUCUAGGAAGAGUUCUAGUUGUUUCAAACAUCUUCCAUUAAAGGAGGCCACUGUGCUCUUGGGAACCUUAAUUAUACAGCCUUCCCCAAACCUGUACCUCAACACAAAGCAGGAGAAAUUGAAUGCACCUGAGCUAGUCUGGUAGCAAAGGCACUGAAUACUGAAUACUAGUUUUUUUCUUUGUCAUUAUGGGGUGUGAAGUGUAGAGUGAUGUGAUAAGAAAGUAAUUGACAGCGUUUAGCAUAACGCUGCAGCAAAACAUUGGGAAAACACUUUGUGAAUGCAGUAUAGAAGAUCUAGUGUAAAAUUAAUAUUUCUAUAUUCUAAAUAUAGAAGUAAUAUUUAUAGUGUUCUCUUGAGAAAAAGACCCUAAUAACUUCAGCUCCGUUACACUACUUAGCUUAAAAUAUGCUGAUAUCUUCUUCUAAUAAGAUGUUUGGCUAUGUCUGAUACACCCGUUACUAACAGUCACAUAAAAUUAAACCAAGAUCUGUAGAAGAAUAGGCCUACCUUCUCUGUUCUAGCUUCAGUGGCCCUUUACAAAGCAAGGUCCAUAAAGAAAUCAUUUCCCGAGUCUGAUGAGGAAGAACCUGACUGAUCUGGACAGUGCCCAGACCUUUGGGGUGAAUCGUAACAGCAAGCCAAUACCCAUCGCCCAAUGUCAGCUCCUAACCUCAGUGAUGCUCUUGUGUCUGAAAAAGAACAAUUCCCUGCAUCCUUGUUCCAAAAUCCAGAAGGCCUUCCAACAAGAGUGUAACCUGCCAAACAGUAAAAGCAAAGAAAAGUAUAAAAUCAAUCAACGGUGGUGUCCAGGGGUCCACAUAUUCACAUGAUUGUGGCAGAAUGGGUUAAUUCCUGGUAUUGUUGAGUGAUAUUUAUCACAACCACCUAUCAGUCCCAACUGCAGCCUGUUUAGAGCUGGGUAAAGUGUUACAUUCAACCUGCCUUAGACCUAUCUUACUCUGUCUAGAUAUUAAACCAACAAGCUGGUUGUUAACGUUUUUAUCGAGUGCUUGGUUUAUUUCAGGAGCUGAGGAUAUAUGACAGUAAGGCUUUACUUCCCGUUUGUUGGUGGUGGUGUGUUUUCCUCAACCGUGCAUUGUGUUUAUCACCCUCUGGAGUGUGUGAAGUGUUAUCUGUGUGCACAGCUGCAUGUAUGUGUGUGUGUGUGUGUGGAGUGUGAUCUCCAUCUCCUCUUGAGUCUUUCCUUUCUGCCCCUGAACUGUUUUUGUUGAUCUUCGUUUCAAAGUUCUUUCUUUCCAUUUAUAAUUUAGUAUUUUGUGGUGUUUUUUUUUAUUACUUUUUUGCAUUUUAAUGUAUUUUGUAAAACAUUUUUUUGACCUACUCAAUCACAAUGCAGCUGGCCAUUUAAAAUUCAGCCUUGUGUAAUAUAAAUGCUUCCACAGCCAAUCAGAUGUUUCGUUUCGGGAGGGCUUCACUCUUGUUAUGCCUCCCUCAUUAGGAGACCGGUCUCUCCCUGUGGACGCACAAAGGUUUCUUUGAAGUACCAGGUGGGGUGCAGCAGGACAGACGAGCCCUCGCAGAGACACAUACCUCUAGCUUCCAGCCCCUGGACCUGAGAAAGGCCAUGAACCAGAAUUCUGCCCAAAUACAAACCAUUUUACCAUACUAGGAUUCCACAAGCUCCAGUCUGGAUCCAGAACACCUGAGAAGAGAUGAUGCCAAUCCCUCAGAGGACCUCAGAUGAUGCUAACCCUGAAACAACAAACAGAACUACCACAUUUUGCUAUAAGUUUGAUUGCAUCAUAUAAUAAUGGUUAGAGAGUUGGACUUGUAACCUGAAGGUCGCAGGUUCGAGUCUCGGUGCUGGCAGGAGUUGUAGGUGGGAGGGAGUGAAUGAACAGCGCUCUCUUCCACCCUCAAUACCCAUGGCUGAAGUGCCCUUGAGCAAGGCACUGAACCCCCAGUUGCUCCCCGGGCGCUGGAUAUAUAGCUGCCCACUGCUCCGGGUGUGUGUUCACGGUGUGUUCACUUCUCACUGCUGUGUGUGUGCACUUGGAUGGGUUAAAUGCAGAGCACCAAUCCUGAGUAUGGGUUACCAUACUUGGCAAAUGUCACAACUUUCACUUUUUCACUUUUUUUUUCAUAUGCACAUAAACUGACAGUCACCACUGAUAAGCUACUACUAAAUAUUGUAGAAAUGUAAUUUUCUGUAAAGUUGUUUUGCAACAAUUUGUAUCGUAAAAAGCGUUAUACAAAUAAACCUGAAUUGAAUUGAAUUGCCAUUUCCAAACCCUUCCACUGUAUCUGCCACUGCCUGUCUUUCAGGGCCACACUCGUGACCAAAGGUCCUUUACUAGCUUCGCAUAUGUUUCCUUCUGCCCCUUGUCAUCUAAACCUAUGGCUAAUCCCACUCAAAACUGAGGACUGCCAUGGCUUUCUGUUGCAGUGCUCCCUUAAUAUAGAAAUGUAGCACCAUUUCUUGACUGAGUCAACAAAAGUUGCAUUUAUUGUUUUGCUCACAAGUGGACCAUAUAGGAGCAAGACUGGACCAAGACUCUGUUUCUUCAUUCAUCUCCUAUUGACACACAAGCCAGUGAGCAUUGUCUCUCGCCACAGACAGUUCAAGGUCCAGCCUCCAGCUUCAGCUUACAGAGUGUGAUGAUGAUUAUCCCAUAGGCUUGGAAAACUUUAUUAUGCUUUCAGCCUGCUUCCAGGGGCCUCCUUGCCACGUGUGUGAUUGUACCCUUUUGUUGUGGAGGUUUUACUACUGGAGUGGGUGCCAGCAUACCAACACUGGCAGAGGGUCUGGCUCUUCACCAAAGAUAUCCACUCUCUCUCCUUCCUAGCCGCAAGCUACGUCCUUGCUAUAUUGUGUGUGUAGGUACACACAAAGAAAGGUGAGAACAAUUAACAAAGUGAGAACUUGACAAUGAGGGGGUGUGGUAAUGG
ensembl:lncRNA